rnacentral:rRNA from 1 species
AGUUAGUUGUGGAGACCAUACAAGUGAGAAUGUAGGCAUGAGUAGCGAAGGAAGAGUGAGAAUCUCUUCCGCCGAAUGUCCAAGGGUUCCUGGGGAAGGUUCGUCCGCCCAGGGUUAGUCGGGACCUAAGGCGAGGUCGAGAGACGUAGUCGAUGGAUAACAGAUUGAUAUUUCUGUACCACUAAUAACGCGCCCAAAUCGAAUAUAUGUUGCUAAGGAAAGCCUUCGGGCCUACCGACCCACAUAUUACUAGAUUAGCGAUGGAGCAACGGAGAAGGAUAGAUGAACCCAGGCGAUGGUUGUCCUGGGGUAAGUGUGUAGGGUAGUUAAUAGGCAAAUCCGUUAACUGUAAACCUGAGACACGAGUCCGAGCCGCUUUUUAGGCGAAGUCAUUAAUUCCAUACUUCCAAGAAAAACUUCUAGUUAGUUUUAUUAGUGCCCGUACCCCAAACCGACACAGGUGGACAAGUAGAGAAUACUAAGGCGAGCGAGAGAACUCUGGUUAAGGAACUCGGCAAAAUAGUUCCGUAACUUCGGGAGAAGGAACGCCCAAGUAAAGUGAUUAAUUAACUUUAUAAGCUGAACGGGCCGCAGUGAUCAGACUCAAGCGACUGUUUAUCAAAAACACAGGAGGGUGCAAAGUUCUAAUACAACGUAUACCCUCUGACACCUGCCCGGUGCUGGAAGGUUAAGUGGAGAGGUUAGCUUCGGCGAAGCUUUGAAAUUAAGCCCCAGUAAACGGCGGCCGUAACUAUAACGGUCCUAAGGUAGCGAAAUUCCUUGUCGGGUAAGUUCCGACCUGCACGAAUGGUGUAACGAUUUGAGUACUGUCUCAACCAGAGACUCGGCGAAAUUGCAAUGUGAGUAAAGAUGCUCACUAUGCGCGACAGGACGGAAAGACCCCGGAACCUUUACUGCAACUUGAUAUUGAAUGUUGGUGUGCAGUAUGCAGGAUAAGUGGGAGACUUUGAAACAAUCACGCUAGUGGUUGUGGAGUCAUCCUUGAGAUACCACUUUCUUCAUAUUGACCUUCUAACCUAGAUCCGUUAUCCGGAUCAGGGACAUUGUCUGGUAGGCAGUUUCACUGGGGCGGUGGCCUCCUAAAAAGUAACGGAGGCGCUCAAAGGUCACCUCAGCGUGGACGGCAAUCACGCAUUGAGUGUAAGUGCAAAAGGUGGCUUGACUGUGACACAAACAAGUGAAGCAGGUACGAAAGUAGGAACUAGUGAUCCCAUGGUUGCAUGUGGGUGCGCCAUGGCUCAUCGGCUAAAAGGUACUCCGGGGAUAACAGGCUUAUACCCCCCAAGAGUCCAUAUCGACGGGGGUGUUUGGCACCUCGAUGUCGGCUCUUCUCAUCCUGGGGCUGGAGCAGGUCCCAAGGGUUAGGCUGUUCGCCUAUUAAAGAGGAACGCGAGCUGGGUUCAGAACGUCGUGAGACAGUUCGGUCCCUAUCCGUCGCGCACGUAAGAAAUUGAAGA